AACUAUAUAACUAUCGGAAAUGCUAGGAACCUAACGUCCGGAGAGGACUUGAAAAAUCGGACGUUCUUGGUCCCACCUUCCACCGUUCAGGACUCAUGGUUUCAUUCUCAUCCACUCAUUUUCUACUGCCCUCUUUCAUUCUCAUCCACUCAUUUUCUACUGCCCCUAGGUCCCACCUUCCACCGAUUGAGCUUAGAAAAAAUCAGACAUCCUUCUUCCUCGAUCAGUCGCAGCGGCGUGGUUGUAGAUGAUGGCAACCGCCUCCGUCGUGUUGAAUGUGCCGAGCCAGCGCUGCUCCUUAGUGUUAGGUCCUGGAUCUCCGCUGCCUACCGGCCCUACGGUGCUGCUCUUCCUCCAUGAACAGAGCCUUGACGAGCACCAAAUGCAGCACCACGGGGAGGUUGCGCGGCGGCCGUGGCGAGCGUUCGCAUCAGAUGUGUUUUGACAGGUACACACCCGUGGAGUCCUACGGCAGCCUCCUCGUCCUCCACCGUAGUGCCCCCUGUUCACGGAGCGUGCCGGCCUUUGCAUCUACGAUCCCAUGACGCCGCGUCUUCCUUCCACCCUUGGAGGCUUCUCGGCGACGAAGGCAGCACCGGUGGCUGCGUCGGACGGUUGUCCCGCUGGCUGGUCGUCAUGGAUCUGAGCGGGCUCCGUCUCCUCCGCGUGAUGCUCAACGUCGUAGCGAACCGGAGUAGUAGAAGUUUGCGCCUACUGACGGCUCCAUGUUGCGAUAGGUACCUCCUGAUGUUGCAGUAGAGAUUUUUGGAUGUUGCAACAGUUGGCUUUUGAUGUUUCAUCUGUUUGCAAUAGUCCGAUUUUCUAGCAAUCAGGUGUUGCACCAACUUGUUCACGAUGUUGC
rnacentral:lncRNA from 1 species